rnacentral:rRNA from 1 species
UGGGGAAUUUUUGUCAAUGGGGGAAACCCUGAACAAGCAACGCCGCGUGAAGGACGAAGGCCUUCGGGUUGUAAACUUCUGUCGGAGGGGACGAAAGCGGUAGCGGUCAAUACCCGUUGCCGUUGACGGUACCCUACGAGGAAGCCCCGGCUAACUCCGUGCCAGCAGCCGCGGUAAUACGGGGGGGGCUAGCGUUGUUCGGAAUUACUGGGCGUAAAGGGCGCGCAGGCGGGCGGGUAAGUCCCUCGUGAAAGCCCACGGCUCAACCGUGGAAUUGCGGGGGAAACUACUCAUCUUGAGUCCGGGAGAGGAGUGUGGAAUUCCCAGUGUAGCGGUGAAAUGCGUAGAUAUUGGGAGGAACACCGGUGGCGAAGGCGGCACUCUGGACCGGUACUGACGCUGAGGCGCGAAAGCUAGGGGAGCAA